UGAUUAUCUAACUCUACAAAUGGGAAUGUGUUAAUUGGCAACAAAACCCUUAUAUUAAGCUGAUGUUAUGCCCCACAACCUCAAUUAACACGGUAAAUAACCAGAACACAGUAAACAAGGAUAUAUGAAAAGCCUGUGAUUACUGAAAUUAUACCAACAACAUAAGCAGUUUGUGGCUGACCUCAAAACUUGCAGGCAAGUAAAAAUAAACCUCAUGUUACUCCUUCUGGUGUUGUGACGUCCCGAGUUGCUCACUCCCACCCUCGGAGGCAGUAGUAGGUCAGGACAUGCCCAGAGUUGCAUCCUGGGGCUGCAGGAAGCAGGACCUGCUUUGGAAGAUGUUCCUGGGGAGCUGCUCCUCGGGUGCCUUAUCCGGGCCACUGCUCACCCCCUUUUGUACAACGUGCAGUCAAGGCUGUCUUCAGGAUUUUUCUGCUCUUGUUUGCCAUAGUUCCCCGAUAUCUUUCUUGACUUUCCUGUUUAAUUAAGUUCUUCUAUAACAUACACAAACUUAAAAUGGGACUUAAAAUUCCCAACAACAUAUGUUGCGUUACGUGUAUUUCUGGAAGCGCGUGACAGAGUUUGUUUAUUCGGUGCUGUGGGACUUCCCCAUAGGCUGCCUUUCCUCCAGGAAUCCUCCAAACACAAGUCUGAGCUUUUUUUGUUGGAUUCCCCUGCCCCCAUAAACUUAAAUAAAUGUGCUUGCACACAAACAGCUGAUGAAUCAGGUUAUGCAGGGCUUCUGCACUGAAAUUCCGGGAAACCGCAGGAAUUGCUAAUGUUCAUGCCACUAACUCUGCUCUUCCAUCUGUAGGUUGGCAAGUCACAAGGUGAGGAAAUGUUCCUGAAAACUGAAGGAUGUAAUUGAUUGAAGAAGGUUGGAAGUUUGACAUGAGACUCUAUGUUCCAGCAACAGCUGUAAGUGCAAACCAUCAUUAUUAUGCCAGAAAUGGAUUUCCUUCACUUAAUCCCCAGUUGCUCUUUUCCUCUUCUCCCAGUGCACUCCUCUGAAGGCCUGGUUAUACCGAGGUGGAUUUGCUUGCUUUUCUGAUGCAGGAUUUGCUCAGAAUAGCAGAGGUGAUCGCUGUAUCCUGCCUGUGCCGUACAGAAGGGUAAGAAAAGGACUGUACAGUUCUGCUGCCUGGUAUUAGAUACAUCAGAUGAACUUUGUCACUUCCAGCUCCUGCAAACACCUACAGGACUCGGCUGUCCCAUCGCUGCUGUUGUCACCCUGUCUCUCUCCAGUCCUUUUUCACUGGAAAACUGGUGUCACCAGAUCACUGGAAACGUCAGUUUGACAAAUCAGCU